GCCUUCAAUUUCAAUAGCAGUGCUAGAGAGCUGUUCCUACACCCAUACUUAUAGAUAACUCUGGGCUACGAAUGUAUCUUUACAUAUAUUGCAGCUAUUUAGUUACUCUUUAUGGCAUUAUUUUGGAUUGACUUGUGGCGGAGUAGUCUAUAAAAUAAAUUAUUUAAAGUAUGUUUUAGUUUGAUUUAUAAUAAAAAAAGAAAGAAAUAAAUAAGCAAGACUUCAGAUAUAUUUUAAAUAGAUUUGUGAGUUUUAUUUAUAUUUUUUAUUAAAUGAAAUAAACUUCAGCUGGUUUGAAUUUUAAAUUAAAUAAAAUCUAAAAAUUUUGCUAACAAAAAUAACUAAAAAUGUAAUGCCCUUGCCAAUGACAUCAUUUGAAGUUUUAUUUUUGGCCAUUCCCUUCCACUAACGCUCUUCUAUCUCAACUUUAUAAAUGAAGCUUUGGAGGAAAAAACUUGGCAAGAUAGCUGAAAUUUUUCAAGACAGGCCCUUUGGAUUCUUUGGAUUUUUCCGAGCCGUAAUUAUGCAUGACAAUUGUAGGUUCUAAUGCUUUUUUUGGUUAAUUUUAUGCACAUAAUUGCUUACAGCAAACCAUUGCCAAACUACCAGAAACAUCAAGAAGAUACUUUAAUUGCUGACUAUUUGAAAUUUGUGCCUGUACUCGGAGCUAAUGUCACAAGCAAUUAGAAGCAAAAUGGCAGAAGAGUGAGAAUCGGGAACUGGUGACACUUGUUGACCACCCAGAAACCCGAGAUGAUCUUCCUCCUUCUGUUCCACUUCACUUGCAAAUUUCCAGCAAAACUGCCAAAACUUAACCCUGAGCUGGUGGCUAGGAAGGGAGCCCCCUUCUCGGGCGUCUCACUUUUACCUGCCCUGGAAUCAGCCAUACACCUAAAUAGGUAAAUAAACGAAUAAGCCGAGAACCUAACCUGAAGACCGGUAGAUGGAGAUGGGCAGAGGCCCCCAAAAUAACAAACUAUUUUGUACCUAAUGUCCGAGAGGUUAAAGACACAAGACAUGGCCACAAACAACAAAAAAAAAAACAGAACAGAGGGAAAAAAUAUGCCAAAAUAAAAACGAAAAGAUUCCUGGUAAAGCUCAAAUCCUGUUUACUUCCUUUUGAGCUACCUAAGCACCGAAGACAGAAGACGCAGCCACUAAAUCUUCUAUAGAAAUGUUCGCCUGCGAAAUCGAGUUUGGCUCGAGGGGGAGCUUCGAGGAGCCCUCCGAGGAGCGGGUGUCUAAAGUUUUGCUUAAUUUGGUGACCGCUUCAGGGGGCCGAGCGGGGGCCGGUUUCUUCUACCCAUUAGACGGCGGGGAGCUGCCUUCGCUUCACGGAAAUCUUGUUUAAUUUCGCUUGAUUGAAUUUGCCUGCAUUUCGUCGAGUUUCGUUUUUAUUCCUUUGCCGAAUUGUGUUCAAAAACGUAUUUUCAUUCGACCACACGCAGUAUGGAUAUGGGAUUGAAACAAGUAGCUGUCGGUCUUAAACCGCAGAAUUUAUUGCAGGGAAACGGAACAUGACAAGAAGUGGAACUUCUUUGAGAAUUUUAGAAGAAUUUUAAAUAUACUUUCGGAUGGAAAUAUUCAAAACUUAGUAAAGUAUUUAAUAUACAUACAAUUAACACUUAUUAUUAAUUAGUAAUUACGAAAAAUGAGACCUACUUUCCCUUUAGUUUUUAAGACAAAUAAUGUUUAAAACAGAGGCUUAAUUAUUAUUAAUCUGUGUGGAUUCACACCACAACCUAGUAAUUAAUUGUAUGAUCCAUGUGCUGCCAACUAACCCGCUUGUGUGAAGAGCAUUAGCCGCCAGCUAGAAGCAAAAGCGUGUUAGCCCCGCCGGAGGAAGCUUGCAGUUGAGUCGCAGCAUGGCGGUAGCUGCCGCUACCUGGGUGGAGUUUUAUUGCAGAAAUCCCCCAUCCCUCCCUCCGCCCGCCCGCACGCCCAGCUGGAAAAGCCAAGCAGCCCCUUGGUAAUGGCAUGAAAAACCGCAGAAAAUUGCUGUACAUCUAGAGAAAAGCCAAGUUAAGCUAAGCCCGUGUAGAUGAAACUGGCUUUUUGCACAAUGAGAUUUAUUUAUCGUGAUUGUGCGCUUAAUUGAAAAUUG